CAGCUUCCCACAUGUGCUGCCCCGAUCUUCCCAUUGGUGUGUUCAGCAAGAAGGGGCUGGCCCCUUGCAAGUCAUCUUGUGUGCCUCUGACAGAUUAUAUUUUUAAGCAAGAAAACAAAACCAGGAUGUCUUAUGGGCUGCUUUAUCUUUAAGGACAGCUUGGAGCUGCAACUGCAAGGAACGGAAAAGAUUUGGAUCAUUUGCAUCAAUCUCCAACCAUUAAUAAUGGUGCUCUGACCAUGGUCUUGAAGGAAUAAUACAAGGACAUUUUCUGACUCAGCAUGGAGAAUAGAGGCUCUCAAGACAUCCAGCAAUGAAGUGGAGUUUGACCUCUGAUGGAUGAAAUCUGCCGGAAUGGAAGCUAAGCUCUUUGAAGAGGAGCAGGUGUCACCGUAUUUUAUAUAUGCCACAUGUCUGGGGACUUCAGAGGAGUCAAAAAAUGCAAAAUAUGAAACAAAGGUAGAAGAACGUGAUUGCCAACUUGAGUUCCAUAAUGUUCUGCUUGAAUCCGAAUGGAGUUCUAUGUCACGGUUAGUAAGCUACCCUGAGACAUCCUUGGAACCAAGCAGGGUUACAGGCCAUGUUACUGCUGCUGCUGCGCCUGAGGUAAAGCAUCUUUGUGGAAAAUUACUGUAUUCUUCAGGGCACAAACCUAAGGACAGUCUUACACACCUGCCCUCACAUGAGGCAUGUUCCUCACUGCUCCUUCCAAGAGAAAGCUCAGCUGAGAAAUCAGAGAGGGUUCAAGAGAUCAGAGUAAUAACACACAAACCAAGUGCGAUCACUUUUUCUGAUUUUGAAUUUUUAUCACAUAGCGCUAACGCUAAACUCCAUAUCUGUGAGGUCACAGACACAGAGGCGUCUUCAUCUGAAGAGGAGGAGGAAGAUGAUGAGGAUGACGUUUUUACAGAGCUGCCACUGUAUGGGGCAUUUUACAAUGGUCUUUAUAAAAGGACUAUUCUCCUUGGGAAACAAGAUAAAUGUGAGCAUACGAGAAGCCAGGAUAUCUGUCAUUUAGAUGGCUGCAAUGAUCACACUGGAAAGAAAUUGAAUGACCAUGAAAAGGAAGAAAAACAAAUGGACAUGGUGACCCAACCAGAAAAAGGAUCUGAGUGGUCAGACUCUAUGUCAUCUCUCAUGAAGAAACUGGAACAAUUGAAUUUAGAUAUUGAAGAGGCUCUCAGUGCUGGCUCUUCUCCUUCCAGCACUCCUUCUACCAAAAAGCGCAAACAGCCGGACUCAUUUAUCCCCUUACAGUGCCCUGUUAAGGUGGAGACAGGCCUUCUUCACAGAGAUCAUCAGAGAAAGGGAAUCUGUGGGAAUAAGAGGGCAGGCUACCAAGAUUUAGAUGGUUUGCCAAGCUCAGUGUCAACUGGAGCACGACCCAAAACUGAAGUAAGUAGCUAUUGUUUAUAUUACAGCAUAUUCUGGCUUCAAUUCUUUACCACAAGGCUUACUAUUUAUCAUUAAAAUCUUCAUUGUAUUUUUAUUUUAAGCUAAAUACAGUCUAUAAAUAUAAUGCAUCACAACUGUAAAUCUUUUACAAUAAGACUGGCAAGUGUUCCCAAUACAAUAUGACUGAGUAUUCAAGGUCAAGAAUCGGAGUCCCAUCACUAUUUUCUACUAGCAUGUUAUCUGCAUUAUUUUGUUCAUUCACUGUUUAAGAAGAGCUGAAGUCCCUUGGGAGUCUUUCCAUUGAAUUUAACUAGUUGUAGAUCAGGGCUAAAAUUUGAAUCCACAUCUGAAUGUCCCCAAAUUUCAGGACUGUUCAGAUCUGGAGUUUUGGUCUGGGCCCUUUUCUAAUCAGUAGCAUUAAUGUCACUUUGUUUCUUUGCCUGUGAGAUGGUAUAAGCCCUGACCAAAGAGACACCAAUUGCCUUCAACAGACUUUGGAACAGGCCCGUAAUAAGCAAGUAGAUACUGAUAUUUAUGUAGAACUAUGGAAGUAAAGUGAUUCUAAGACCAUGCUCCUAGCUACAAAAUAGCAAAUUGUUUUAUCUGUCGCUUGUAAAUUGCUUUGGUGCCUGCAAUGGUUAAGAUAUUCUCUUUUUGCUAAUGUCAAGUAAAAUAUAUGCAUGUAAGAUACAUUACACAUUGUCUAAGGUGUUUUGAUUCAAGUAAAGGUAUAUCUUCUUAAAGGAAAGAUAAUAACUAUAAUAUGCCCCUUUCUUCAUAGAGUGAAGUUGCAUAGUACUCUGUAAAUUCUAUAUUCCAUUACAGGUUGAAGGUCUGCCACUGUCAUUCAGACUGAAGUUUGAAACAUUGGGGCCCGCCUGUUUGUUGAUUGAAAUACACUAAUGUACUCUCAGGAAAGAUUUUUUCCCUAGUUAAAUAGCUUUCUGCUUCUCUUUUGCAACUGCCCAACUACUUUAGUUUGCUCAAGUUACAUUAGAUCUCAGAAAUCACUAAAGAAAAUGAGAUAUUUGACUGCACUUUACUUAAUUUUUUUUAAGUCAGAUGUUCAAGAAAGCACUGAUAUCUUUGCUUAUGCUUCCUCCCUACCAAUACAAUCUAAAUAACUUUGAAGUGAUGUUACAGUAAUUUUGGUUUUUGGUCUACAAGUGUCUGUGUGUUUGCAGUGGGAGGUGCUGGAAGAGAAGGAAUAAGUGUGAACUUAUCAUCUUAUUCUUCUUUCCUGAUCUCUGCAAUCCCUCCUAGUAUUGUACUUCAAGGAAUGUUGGCAUAAUAAAUACCAAACUCAGAAAACUUCA
ensembl:lncRNA